UACUGAGUUACCGCUCUACAACCCUUUGUGAACAUACCUAACCGUUGCUUCGGCGGGCAGGGGAAGCCUCUCGCGGGCCUCCCCUCCCGGCGCCGGCCCCACCACGGGGACGGGGCGCCCGCCGGAGGAAACCAAACUCUAUUUACACGACGUCUCUUCUGAGUGGCACAAGCAAAUAAUUAAAACUUUUAACAACGGAUCUCUUGGUUCUGGCAUCGAUGAAGAACGCAGCGAAAUGCGAUAAGUAAUGUGAAUUGCAGAAUUCAGUGAAUCAUCGAAUCUUUGAACGCACAUUGCGCUCGCCAGCAUUCUGGCGAGCAUGCCUGUUCGAGCGUCAUUUCAACCCUCAAGCACCGCUUGGUUUUGGGGCCCCACGGCAGACGUGGGCCCUUAAAGGUAGUGGCGGACCCUCCCGGAGCCUCCUUUGCGUAGUAACUAACGUCUCGCACUGGGAUCCGGAGGGACUCUUGCCGUAAAACCCCCAAAUUCUUUACAGGUUGACCUCGGAUCAGGUAGGAAUACCCGCUGAACU
rnacentral:rRNA from 1 species